GACGAACGCUGGCGGCAUGCCUAACACAUGCAAGUCGAACGGAACUUGUUGAAGGAAGUUUUCGGAUGGAAUUUGACAAGUUUAGUGGCGGACGGGUGAGUAACGCGUGAGCAACCUGCCUUUCAGAGGGGGACAACAGUUGGAAACGACUGCUAAUACCGCAUAACGUAUCGGGAUCGCAUGAUCCUGAUACCAAAGAUUUAUCGCUGAAAGAUGGGCUCGCGUACGAUUAGAUAGUUGGUGAGGUAACGGCUCACCAAGUCGACGAUCAGUAGCCGGACUGAGAGGUUGAACGGCCACAUUGGGACUGAGACACGGCCCAGACUCCUACGGGAGGCAGCAGUGGGGAAUAUUGGGCAAUGGACGCAAGUCUGACCCAGCAACGCCGCGUGAAGGAAGAAGGUCUUCGGAUUGUAAACUUCUGUUUUUAGUGAAGAAACAAAUGACGGUAGCUAAAGAGGAAGCCACGGCUAACUACGUG
rnacentral:rRNA from 1 species